rnacentral:rRNA from 1 species
GACGAACGCUGGCGGCGUGCCUAAUACAUGCAAGUAGAACGCAGUUGCGAACGGGUGAGUAACGCGUAGGUAACUGCCUCAUAGCGGGGGAUAACUCUGGGAGACGAGAGCUAAUACCGCAUACUGUGAGAUGUAACUGCGUUGUAUUAGGUAGUUGGGGAGGUAAAGGCUCAGCAAGGCGACUAUACAUAGCCGACCUGAGAGGGUGAGCGGCACAACUGGGCAUGAGAAAAGGCCCAAGCUCCUACUGGGUGCAGCAGUAGGGAAACUUCGGCAAUGGACUGAAGGCUGACCGGGCAACUGCGCGUGAGUGAAUAAGGUUUUCGGGUCGUAAAGCUCUGUUGUUAGAGAAGCGGUAACUAACCAGAAAGGGACGGCUAACUACGUGCCAGCAGCCGCGGUAAUUC